UGAGGAAUAUUGGUCAAUGGACGAGAGUCUGAACCAGCCAAGUAGCGUGAAGGAUGACUGCCCUAUGGGUUGUAAACUUCUUUUAUACGGGAAUAAAGUGGAGUAUGCAUACUCCUUUGUAUGUACCGUAUGAAUAAGGAUCGGCUAACUCCGUGCCAGCAGCCGCGGUAAUACGGAGGAUCCGAGCGUUAUCCGGAUUUAUUGGGUUUAAAGGGAGCGUAGGCGGGUGCUUAAGUCAGUUGUGAAAGUUUGCGGCUCAACCGUAAAAUUGCAGUUGAUACUGGGCGCCUUGAGUGCAGCAUAGGUAGGCGGAAUUCGUGGUGUAGCGGUGAAAUGCUUAGAUAUCACGAAGAACUCCGAUUGCGAAGGCAGCUUACUGGACUGUAACUGACGCUGAUGCUCGAAAGUGUGGGUAUCAAACAGGAUUAGAUACCCUGGUAGUCCACACAGUAAACGAUGAAUACUCGCUGUUGGCGAUACACAGUCAGCGGCCAAGCGAAAGCAUUAAGUAUUCCACCUGGGGAGUACGCCGGCAACGGUGAAACUCAAAGGAAUUGACGGGGGCCCGCACAAGCGGAGGGACAUGUGGUUUAAUUCGAUGAUACGCGAGGAACCUUACCCGGGCUUAAAUUGCAGCGGAAUGUAGUGGAAACAUUACAGCCUUCGGGCCGCUGUGAAGGUGCUGCAUGGUUGUCGUCAGCUCGUGCCGUGAGGUGUCGGCUUAAGUGCCAUAACGAGCGCAACCCUUAUCUAUAGUUACUAUCAGGUCAUGCUGAGGACUCUAUGGAGACUGCCGUCGUAAGGUGUGAGGAAGGUGGGGAUGACGUCAAAUCAGCACGGCCCUUACGUCCGGGGCUACACACGUGUUACAAUGGGGGGUACAGAAGGCAGCUACCUGGCGACAGGAUGCUAAUCCCUAAAACCUCUCUCAGUUCGGAUUGGAGUCUGCAACCCGACUCCAUGAAGCUGGAUUCGCUAGUAAUCGCGCAUCAGCCACGGCGCGGUGAAUACGUUCCC
rnacentral:rRNA from 1 species